GACCGGGAUGGACGAACCUCUGGUGUACCGGUUGUCAUGCCAGUGGCACAGCCGGGUGGCUAUGUUCGGAACGGAUAACCGCUGAAAGCAUCUAAGCGGGAAGCCGACUCCAAGAUUAGAUUUCCCUGGGGCUUUAUGCCCCCUGAAGACUCCUGGAAGACUACCAGGUCGAUAGGAUGGAGGUGUAAACGCAGCAAUGCGCUCAGCCCACCAUUACUAAUCAGUCGUGAGGCUUGACCAU
rnacentral:rRNA from 1 species